rnacentral:rRNA from 1 species
GACGAACGCUGGCGGCGUGCUUAACACAUGCAAGUCGAACGGUAAGGCCCUUCGGGGUACACGAGUGGCGAACGGGUGAGUAACACGUGGGUGAUCUGCCCUGCACUUCGGGAUAAGCCUGGGAAACUGGGUCUAAUACCGGAUAGGACCACUGCCUGCAUGGGUGGUGGUGGAAAGCUUUUGCGGUGUGGGAUGGGCCCGCGGCCUAUCAGCUUGUUGGUGGGGGGAUGGCAUACCAAGGCGACGACGGGUAGUCGGCCUGAGAGGGUGACCGGCCACACUGGGACUGAGCUACGGCCCAGACUCCUACGGGAGGCAGCAGUGGGGAAUAUUGCACAAUGGGCGCAAGCCUGAUGCAGCGACGCCGCGUGAGGGAUGACGGCCUUCGGGUUGUAAACCUCUUUCAGCACCGACGAAGCGCAAGUGACGGUAGGUGCAGAAGAAGGACCGGCCAACUACGUGCCAGCCGCCGCCGUAA